GACGAACGCUGGCGGCGUGCCUAAUACAUGCAAGUAGAACGCUGAAGAGAGGAGCUUGCUCUUCUUGGAUGAGUUGCGAACGGGUGAGUAACGCGUAGGUAACCUGCCUGGUAGCGGGGGAUAACUAUUGGAAACGAUAGCUAAUACCGCAUAAUAGCAGUUAUUGCAUGAUAACUGUUUGAAAGGUGCAAAUGCAUCACUACCAGAUGGACCUGCGUUGUAUUAGCUAGUUGGUGAGGUAACGGCUCACCAAGGCGACGAUACAUAGCCGACCUGAGAGGGUGAUCGGCCACACUGGGACUGAGACACGGCCCAGACUCCUACGGGAGGCAGCAGUAGGGAAUCUUCGGCAAUGGACGGAAGUCUGACCGAGCAACGCCGCGUGAGUGAAGAAGGUUUUCGGAUCGUAAAGCUCUGUUGUAAGAGAAGAACGAGUGUGAGAGUGGAGAGUUCACACUGUGACGUAUCUACCAGAAAGGACGCA
rnacentral:rRNA from 1 species